rnacentral:rRNA from 1 species
AGUGAACGCUGGCGGUAGGCCUAACACAUGCAAGUCGAACGGCAGCACAGUAAUAGCUUGCUCUUACGGGUGGCGAGUGGCGGACGGGUGAGGAAUACAUCGGAAUCUACUUUUUCGUGGGGGAUAACGUAGGGGAACUUACGCUAGUACCGCAUACGACCUACGGGUGAAAGCAGGGGAUCUUCGGACCUUGCGCGAUUGAAUGAGCCGAUGUCGGAUUAGCUAGUUGGCGGGGUAAAGGCCCACCAAGGCGACGAUCCGUAGCUGGUCUGAGAGGAUGAUCAGCCACACUGGAACUGAGACACGGUCCAGACUCCUACGGGAGGCAGCAGUGGGGAAUAUUGGACAAUGGGCGCAAGCCUGAUCCAGCCAUACCGCGUGGGUGAAGAAGGCCUUCGGGUUGUAAAGCCCUUUUGUUGGGAAAGAAAAGCAGCAGGUUAAUACCCCGCUGUUCUGACGGUACCCAAAGAAUAAGCACCGGCUAACUUCGUG